rnacentral:rRNA from 1 species
CACGUAGUUAGCCGUGACUUUCUAAGUAAUUACCGUCAAAUAAAGGCCAGUUACUACCUCUAUCUUUCUUCACUACCAACAGAGCUUUACGAGCCGAAACCCUUCUUCACUCACGCGGCGUUGCUCCAUCAGACUUUCGUCCACUGUGGAAGAUUCCCUACUGCUGCCUCCCGUAGGAGUUUGGGCCGUGUCUCAGUCCCAAUGUGGCCGAUCAGUCUCUCAACUCGGCUAUGCAUCAUUGCCUUGGUAAGCCGUUACCUUACCAACUAGCUAAUGCACCGCAGGUCCAUCCAAGAGUGAUAGCAGAACCAUCUUUCAAACUCUAGACAUGCGUCUAGUGUUGUUAUCCGGUAUUAGCAUCUGUUUCCAGGUGUUAUCCCAGUCUCUUGGGCAGGUUACCCACGUGUUACUCACCCGUCCGCCGCUCGCUUGUAUCUAGUUUCAUUUAGUGCAAGCACUAAAAUCAUCUAGGCAAGCUCGCUCGA